UACAGAGGGUGCAAGCGUUGCUCGGAUUUACUGGGCGUAAAGCGUACGCAGACGGUGAGAAAGGUCGGAUGUGAAAGCCCCGGGCUCAACCCAGGAAGUGCAUUCGAAACUGCCGAGCUGGAGUCCUGGAGAGGAAGGCGGAAUUCUCGGUGUAGAGGUGAAAUUCGUAGAUAUCGAGAGGAACACCGGUGGCGAAGGCGGCCUUCUGGACAGUGACUGACGCUGAGACGCGAAAGCGUGGGGAGCAAACAGG
rnacentral:rRNA from 1 species